rnacentral:piRNA from 1 species
UCCUGCUUUGAAAUUCUUUGAGAACUAAA